rnacentral:rRNA from 1 species
GCGCGAAAACUUUACAAUGCGGGAAACCGUGAUAAGGGGACACCGAGUGCCAGCAUCAUAUGCUGGCUGUCCGGGUGUGUAAAAUACACCUGUUAGCAAGGGCCGGGCAAGACCGGUGC